UGAUUUAAGCGGUUGUCGCAAAGAAAACGCAAGGAAGAAGAAGAAGUGCGUGCACUACACGCAGGCGCGUGAGGGCCGCGACUGGGCGUGCUCCUGGCGCGUGGGACAGACACACCGAGGAUGUGAGGGCGCGUGAAGCAUCAUUUCGGUUCCCGGUCUAAUUGGAAGGAAUUGUGUUGAAAUACC